GCCAUGCUGAUCAUGUACACAGAGAACAGCUAGUACAGCCUAUUUAGAAUAAAUGCGGAACAGCUUAGUAGGGCUGUCUCAGUCUGAGAGCCAAUGGAAACACUGGCUCCUCCUUUGCCAUUGCCUUUCAUUUUGUCCCUGCUCAGCCUACUGGUAGCUGGGGAAGUGACCUUUCUGGGAAAGAGACCUUUGCUUUGAUCAUCACCCAAACCCAGCUGAAAACAGUGGUCUUUUUACCUAAUGGGUUUAAUGUCCAGGCAUAAUCAAUCAGAAUGAACUCACCAACAAACUCUGAGGAAACUUUAUCUAUGAUAUCGUGAAGGAUCCCUUACCCAUUGUGGCACCACCAUAUUGAGCAAUUCCCUGCCUCUGCUUUGUACCAUUAGCUGCUACUGAUGGGGGCGGGAAAAUGAACAACUUGGUGUCACUACAUCAUGAGCCUGUGCUUCCUCCAAGAAGCUACGGUCAUGCUAAGACAUAAGUGACUGUCCCAGAGUCACCCGGGGCUUCCCAGAAUGUCUCAAGUAUGCAGCCUGUGAUUAACGUGAGAAGAUAGCCGUCUGUCUGGUGCGACUUUUGUCCAAAAAUGAGAGAUCAAAUGAAAUAGAGCAAUUUAGUGGAGAGAAGAAGAAAAGUCUGAUCUUUUGAAACUAAUGGAACAUACUCACCAAUUCCACUGAAAAAGAAAUGGAUUUAAAAAUCAUAGACACACGAAAAACAUAACAAUGUGAAAAACUCAAAUAAUGUAAGUCAAGUACAUAACACUGGUCUGCGGAUUAUGCUGAUUUGAGGCUCUCCAAGAAAAUCCUCCAAGAUUUUUUUUAAUUACAAGCAAUACAUUGCUUGUUAUUCACAAUAUGGCACUUGAAGCCAAUUAACAGGGAACAUACAUGUUUUCUAUUUGUGCUCCACAUGUCAGUUUGUUAAGUUCCUCAUUCUUGGGAAUUACUGACUUCUUUUGUAUUUUGAGGUUGAGGGGUAUGAAUGAGGAACAUAUGGGAUUAUUCUUAUACUAAAGUGGCCAGAUCACACCUCUGCAGCAAGAAGAGGCAUGUCAGAGACUUCCUCGCCAACAUGGAGGACAGCCCAGCCAGUUGGGAUGCCACAUUGAAUAACUCCGAUUCCAAAAUCAACUUCAAGGCUUCACCUACAUCUCUCCUUUCUGCAACUCUGCUGUCAAAGAAAGGUGUGACAUGCUCCAUACAUUUAAAGCAAGAGAUAAUGUGGUGCACAACAACUCAACACUGGCUUCAUUCCCAAAACAUGAAAUGCAAUAUACCCUGUCAAUUAUACAGAUUUGUUCAUUUGGGGCAUUUGGCUUUGAUCAUAAACCUCAUAGGACAACUACAAAGCAGUCUAAUGUAAAACUGAUGUACAACUGUGCCACACGAAAGACACCAGUGUAGGCAUGUGUUAAAAUGCUGAAAACUAGCACCAUCUCCUGGAAGUUUUUCACACCCGGCUUUUGGUUUGCAUCUCCUCCAGAAUGGAAGUGUGCAUUCACAUAUCGGCCAGAUUUACCCUGAAGUCCCUGAGAGCCAACAGGGAGCACUUCACACACAAUUCAGGUUUUUCAUCGGGCAUUAGAGUGUACCCCAACUUAUAUCCGGGUUUUUUUAAAAAAAUCCUUUUUGCAUCGGAUCUUUCAAAAUCCAAAAAUCCAUUUUGGAUCGGGUUUUUUGGGACAACUUCGAACUCACAGUAAAGCCUCACAGUUGGGAAAGCUCCUGCAAAUGCUUUUGGUAAUAACAAAAAGCAAUUGCAUAGCGAGAAGGUAAUAGAGUAUUUAUUCCAUCAUUUACGCAAUGAGGGAAGUACCCUAGUGCAGUAAAUCCUGUUGAUUUAAACAACUUGUCAGGAAUGACAAAGUGAAAAGAAAGCGGCUUACUUUCAGAGUGUAUGAAAAGAUCUCCAACUUCUUACAGGAUUCCGACUCACUGUUCUUCCCUAUCUGAAUUCUUAUUUCAUCAUCAAGCUCUACACUGUCGCAUCUAAUUGGGAAGAGGAAAAAGGAAUGAUUUAUCUCUAAAACUGACACAAAUGUGUGUGAAAGAAAGAAAAUCAUUUUUGCUAGUAAUUCAAAUAAUGUAUUUAAUAAAAGACAUUUUCUGAG